rnacentral:rRNA from 1 species
UACGUAGGGGCUAGCGUUGUCCGGAAUCAUUGGGCGUAAAGCGCGCGUAGGCGGCCCGGUAAGUCCGCUGUGAAAGUCAAAGGCUCAACCUUUGAAUGUCAGCGGAUACUGCCGGGCUAGAGUCCGGAAGAGGCGAGUGGAAUUCCUGGUGUAGCGGUGGAAUGCGCAGAUAUCAGGAGGAACACCGAUGGCGAAGGCAGGUCUCUGGGCCAUUACUGACACUGAGAAGCGAAAGCAUGGGGAGCGAACAGG